rnacentral:lncRNA from 12 species
UGAAAUCCUGUGGUCUGCUCGAGAUUCAAGGGUCUCUGAGGAGUCCAAAGAGCAUGAGGCAAAAACUUGAGACUGUAGUUUAAAGCAGCCUCAGGAACAUCCUUUCCAAGCAAACAUGAGCAGCUCAAAGCAAACACGGAUGUCUGGAACUGGGUGAUAUUCUAUUUAUAUGCAUACUUACAAUCUGCCUGCAGUUCCAAGGACUGUUUUGAAUGGCAGGAUGGAGCAUCCCUUUGCUGCAUAGAAUGCAGGGCAUGACGCUUCUGCUGUGAGUUAACUGGUAA